UACGUAGGGGGCAAGCGUUGUCCGGAAUCAUUGGGCGUAAAGAGCGUGUAGGCGGUCCGGUCAGUCGGUUGUGAAAGUCAAGGGCUCAACCCUUGAAUGCCGGCCGAUACUGCCGGGCUAGAGUCCGGAAGAGGUGAGUGGGAUUCCUGGUGUAGCGGUGAAAUGCGCAGAUAUCAGGAGGAACACCGAUGGCGAAGGCAGCUCACUGGGACGGUACUGACGCUGAGACGCGAAAGCGUGGGGAGCAAACAGG
rnacentral:rRNA from 1 species